GACGAACGCUGGCGGCGUGCUUAACACAUGCAAGUGGAGCGACGAACCGGGGCUUGCCCCGGGGCAAAGCCGCGAACGGGUGAGUAACACGUGGGUAACCCACCUCGAUGACCGGGACAACCCGAGGAAACUCGGGCUAAUACCGGAUGUGCUCCUUCACCUCACGGUGAAGGAGGAAAGAUCGCUUCGGCCUUCGCACCGAGACGGGCCCGCGGCCCAUUAGCUUGUUGGUAGGGUAACGGCCUACCAAGGCUGCGAUGGGUAGCUGGUCUGAGAGGACGAUCAGCCACACUGGGACUGAGACACGGCCCAGACUCCUACGGGAGGCAGCAGUGGGGAAUCUUGCACAAUGCGCGAAAGCGUGAUGCAGCAACGCCGCGUGGGGGAAGAAGGCCUUCGGGUUGUAAACCCCUUUCAGUUGGGACGAAGCUUCGCCGGUUAAUAGCCGGCCGGAGUGACGGUACCUUCAGAAGAAGCCCCGGCUAACUACGUGCCAGCAGCCGCCGCAGUAA
rnacentral:rRNA from 1 species